GACGAACGCUGGCGGCGUGCCUAAUACAUGCAAGUUGAGCGAUGAAGAUUGGUGCUUGCACCUAUUUGAAGAGCAGCGAACGGGUGAGUAACGCGUGGGGAAUCUGCCUUUGAGCGGGGGACAACAUUUGGAAACGAAUGCUAAUACCGCAUAACAACUUUAAACAUAAGUUUUAAGUUUGAAAGAUGCAAUUGCAUCACUCAAAGAUGAUCCCGCGUUGUAUUAGCUAGUUGGUGAGGUAAAGGCUCACCAAGGCGAUGAUACAUAGCCGACCUGAGAGGGUGAUCGGCCACAUUGGGAAUGAGACAAGGGCCAAACUCCUACGGGAGGCAGCAGUAGGGAAUCUUCGGCAAUGGACGAAAGUCUGACCGAGCAACGCCGCGUGAGUGAAGAAGGUUUUCGGAUCGUAAAACUCUGUUGGUAGAGAAGAACGUUGGUGAGAGUGGAAAGCUCAUCAAGUGACGGUAACUACCCAGAAAGGGACGGCUAACUACGUG
rnacentral:rRNA from 1 species